UACGUAGGGUGCAAGCGUUAAUCGGAAUUACUGGGCGUAAAGCGUGCGCAGGCGGUUUUGUAAGUCUGUCGUGAAAUCCCCGGGCUCAACCUGGGAAUUGCGAUGGAGACUGCAAGGCUAGAAUCUGGCAGAGGGGGUAGAAUUCCACGUGUAGCAGUGAAAUGCGUAGAGAUGUGGAGGAACACCGAUGGCGAAGGCAGCCCCCUGGGUCAAGAUUGACGCUCAUGCACGAAAGCGUGGGGAGCAAACGAGG
rnacentral:rRNA from 1 species